UAUACAUAUAUAUAUACAUAUACAUAUAUAUUUUUUAUAUAAUUAAAAAUAUUUUUGUAUACUUUAUGCUGCGGUCUCCCCUUUAGAACAUUAGACCAACACGGCGUAGACGAUACUGCUUCUUGCGGCGCUUAGUCGCUAACGCGCACUUGUUUGGAGGAAACGGCACAAUCCGGUCUCGCAGGUAAUCGUACGUGUUCAUUUCUGUUACAAUCUUAUUUCCUCCUUGGGAGAUUAAUUGUAAGACUAGACCAUACCACCUGUUUUUGGCCAGUGUAGGCAGGUUUUAGCUUGCCAGGCGGUGCCACUAAAUUCGAAGAGGAAAGAUAUAUAAUCGUACGGUGUGCAUGAAGAAAAUUUUAGAAAUAUCUAGUAUCUACGUAAUCGUCGUGACCAAGUGAUUACCAAAAAUAUUUAAAUUUAUUGCAGGUAAUAUUUAUCUCUAAACAUGCCAAAAAUAAAAAUGAAGACUAAACGACAUUUCAAUCGAAAGAUAGCUGACAAUGUAGAAGCUUCGAUGGCUUUAAUUGAGUUACAAAGCCAAAUUAACUCACUUGAAUCGACCGAAAGUACUUGUUCAAGCAACAAAGGGAUGAAUAUCAGUGAAGACAUAAAUAAUGUGAAUAUUGAUACACGGCAUGGCUUUCAGUCAACCAAUGUAUCAUUAAAUAAAGAGGUUUGCGAAAAUGUCGCUGAAUUAAAUUUGCAUGUCAACAAUAUGGAGGAGAGUUUUCCAAAUGAUACAUCUCUUUUAAAUAAUUCUAUAAUAUCUUCAAAUAGCAUUGAUAGUGAUAGGACAUAAUAAAUAGUAAUAAUGAUUUAUCCACUUAUGCCAAAAAUGAAAAUAAAGAUACAUCAUUGCGAAAAAAAUUAGCAUCAUGGGCCAUUGAGGAAAAUAUUACUCAAAAUAGUUUUAAAAAACUUUUAGAAAUUCUUCGGAAUGAAAAUGAUUUGACCCCAUUUCAUAACUUACCUAAAGAUCCGAGGACAAUGUUAUUAACUCCAAGCAAUCUUACUUCUAUAAAAAUGAAUACAGGUUCUUUUCAUUACUUUGGGAUUGCACAGUCAAUUAAUAUAUUAAUUAAUCAGUGUGGUGUAUCCCUUCUUAAUUGUACAUCUUUUGAAUUAGCCGUAAAUAUAGAUGGUUUGCCGAUUAGUAAAAGCAGUUCAAAUUGUUUAUGGCCAAUAUUAGUUCAAAUAAAGUCUAUUGAAGUUUUGAAAAAAUAUGUUUUAAUGGUAGCCCUGUAUCAUGGUAAUGGUAAACCGGAAAACCCAAAUGAAUAUUUAAAAGAAUUUGUAAAUGAAGCAUUUACUUGACUACGAAUGGAAUUUUUAUAAACAAUCAAAAAUAUGAUUUAAAAAUAAAAGUUAUAAUAUGUGAUACGCCUGCUAAAUCUUAUAUUUUGAAUGUAAAAAGCCAUACGGGUUAUUAUAGCUGCACUAAAUGCAAAGUGGAAGGUUGUUUGAUAAAUAAAAUUUUGUGCUUUUCACACACAAACGCUAUGAAAAGAACAGAUGUUGAAUUUAGACAACAACAUGAUGAAGAUUAUCACAAAGGGAUGACUAUUUUGACGAAUUUGCCUCAUUUUGAUAUGAUUAAAGAUGUUAUACUAGAUUACAUGCAUCUUAUUUGUUUAGGGGUAAUGAAAAGAUUGAUUACACAUAAAAAAUAUGGUUGGGUAUAUGGUAAACAACCAUAUAAACUUUCAUAUAGACAAGUAGAAUCGAUUUCAAAUAAAAUUAAAAACUUAAAUAAAUAUAUUCCUGUUGAAUUUCCACGUAAAGGUAGAUCGCUUGAAGAAUGUCCUCGUUUUAAAGCAACGGAAUUUAAACUCAUACUAUUAUAUACAGGACCUGUAAUUUUCAAACAAAUUCUUGCAAAA
rnacentral:lncRNA from 1 species